GCGAACGCUGGCGGCAGGCCUCACACAUGCAAGUCGCACGGAUCCUUCGGGAUUAGUGGCGGACGGGUGAGUAACACGUGGGAACGUGCCCUUUGGUUCGGAACAACUCAGGGAAACUUGAGCUAAUACCGGAUGUGCCCUUCGGGGGAAAGAUUUAUCGCCAUUGGAGCGGCCCGCGUCUGAUUAGCUAGUUGGUGAGGUAACGGCCCACCAAGGCGACGAUCAGUAGCUGGUCUGAGAGGAUGAUCAGCCACACUGGGACUGAGACACGGCCCAGACUCCUACGGGAGGCAGCAGUGGGGAAUCUUGCGCAAUGGGCGAAAGCCUGACGCAGCCAUGCCGCGUGAAUGAUGAAGGUCUUAGGAUUGUAAAAUUCUUUCAGCGGGGACGAUAAUGACGGUACCCGCAGAGGAAGCGCCGGCUAACUUCGUG
rnacentral:rRNA from 1 species